rnacentral:rRNA from 1 species
GUGGGUAGUCCGCACGAGCGCACCCUAUCUUUAUUGCUAACAGGUUAGCUGAGGACUCUAGAGAAACUGCCUACGCAAGUAGAGAGGAAGGCGGGGACGACGUCAAGUCAUCACGGCCCUUACGUCCUGGGCCACACACGUGCUACAAUGGUUGGUACAGAGGGCAGCUACCCCGCGAGGGGAUGCGAAUCUCUAAAGCCAAUCUCAGUUCGGAUUGGAGUCUGCAACUCGACUCCAUGAAGCUGGAAUCGCUAGUGAUCGCGCAUCAGCCAUGGCGCGGUGAAUACGUUCCCGGGCCUUGUACACACCGCCCGUCAAGCCAUGGAAGCUGGGGGUGCCUGAAGUCGGUAACCGUAAGGAGCUGCCUAGGGUAAAACUAGUAACUGGGGCUAAGUCGUAACAAGGUAGCCGUACCGGAAGGUGCGGCUGGAACACCUCCUUUCU